rnacentral:rRNA from 1 species
GAUGAACGCUGGCGGCGUGCUUAACACAUGCAAGUCGAGCGAUGAAGUUUCCUUCGGGAAACGGAUUAGCGGCGGACGGGUGAGUAACACGUGGGUAACCUGCCUCAUAGAGUGGAAUAGCCUUCCGAAAGGAAGAUUAAUACCGCAUAACGUUGAAAGACUGGCAUCAUCAUUUAACCAAAGGAGCAAAUCCGCUAUGAGACUGGACCCGCGGCGCAUUAGCUAGUGGUGGGGUAACGGCCUACCAAGGCGACGAUGCGUAGCCGACCUGAGAGGGUGAUCGGCCACAUUGGGACUGAGACACGGCCCAG